rnacentral:rRNA from 1 species
UACGUAGGGGGCAAGCGUUGUUCGGAUUCAUUGGGCGUAAAGGGUGCGUAGGUGGCGCGGUAAGUCGGGUGUGAAAUUUCGGAGCUUAACUCCGAAACUGCAUUCGAUAUUGCCGUGCUUGAGGACUGGAGAGGAGACUGGAAUUUACGGUGUAGCAGUGAAAUGCGUAGAGAUCGUAAGGAAGACCAGUGGCGAAAGGCGGGUCUCUCGGACAGUUCCUGACACUGAGGCACGAAGGCCAGGGGAGCAAACGGG